AUUAUUCCACCAGCUUUCCAGUGACCUCCCCAUGGUGCAAUCCACACGGAGAGAUAGAGCGACAUCCAGUGCCGCCUUGCCCUGAGCCAGAUAUGCGCCUCCACAAAUAUGUGUACAUCAUCUCUGAACGCAGGGUAAAUAAGGUCGAAUCAUCAGAUGAAAUAAUCUGAUGAAAUAAAGACUGAAAGAGGGAUCUGAGCCAUAUCUGGCAACCAGCAACAAUAUUAUGUCUGCCACUUUUGGGCACCCUGCAAUGCAUCUCUGAUGAGCAGACGGCGACAAACGUGACCCAUCCUGAUUAAAUACAAACUUUGGAGACAUGAAACCUGGCAGGAGUAACUCACCAACUCCCUUGGCAUCUUCUAAUAAAGUCAGCCAAGCAGUCUGAGUGUGCCUGGCAAAGGGUCAAGGGUUGGCUAGUUUGCAUAACCUCUUAAUGCCUUCUUGAAA